AAGCUCGUAGUUGAAUUUCGGGAUUAAUUUAUUGGUCGUGCAAUAGUACGUACUGGUAUUAUUGAUUCCUACCUUCUGACGAACCAUGAUGUCAUUAAUUUGGUGUCAUGGGGAAUCAGGACUGUUACUUUGAAAAAAUUAGAGUGUUUAAAGCAGGCUCACGCUUGAAUACAUUAGCAUGGGAUAACGAAAUAGGACGUUUGAUUCUAUUUUGUAGGUUUCUAGGAUCGACGUAAUGAUUAAUAGGGAUAGUUGGG
rnacentral:rRNA from 1 species